AUUGAACGCUGGCGGCAGGCCUAACACAUGCAAGUCGAGCGGGGUUUUCGGACCUAGCGGCGGACGGGUGAGUAAUGCGUAGGAAGCUACCCGAUAGAGGGGGAUACCAGUUGGAAACGACUGUUAAUACCGCAUAAUGUCUACGGACCAAAGUGUGGGACCUUCGGGCCACAUGCUAUCGGAUGCGCCUACGUGGGAUUAGCUAGUUGGUGGGGUAAUGGCUCACCAAGGCGACGAUCCCUAGCUGGUUUGAGAGGAUGAUCAGCCACACUGGAACUGGGACACGGUCCAGCCUCGUACGGGAGGCAGCAGUGGGGAAUAUUGGACAAUGGGCGCAAGCCUGAUCCAGCCAUGCCGCGUGUGUGAAGAAGGCCUUCGGGUUGUAAAGCACUUUCAGUAGGGAGGAAGCGUUGUGUGUUAAUAGUACACAGCGUUGACGUUACCUACAGAAGAAGCACCGGCUAACUCUGUGCCAGCCGCCGCAGUAAGAC
rnacentral:rRNA from 1 species